UCGUCACAAACAUUUUUAUGGCCUGUGCUGGUGAGAACUCAAACCCCUCCAGCCACAUGUUCAUCUAAUCUUCUCAUUUACGGGUGUGCUACUUGGGCGUUUUCCUCUCUCUUUGCAUCAGAUAAGGAGAUUUGCUAGCUGUAGAUGUGGAGAUACGAUGACUAGACCGUAAGCUCCAUUAAAGCGUUGGAUUAAAGGAGAAUGGAUGGUUGCUUCUCCCAUUUAGAGAAGUCAUGUGCUCGAAUUUGCUGCUCAUUCAUGUGAUCUUUCAUGCUCUGCUGUUCAGAUUGUGUUUCCACUGACCUAGCUUUGCACCUUUAAUUUCUACCUUGGUACAUUGGAGUCGUCAAUUUUGGACAACCCAAUAGAUAAUCUAUAGGUAUGUGCUUCUGACCUUCUAGAUUUCUGUUAAUUUUCACUUGCUGAGUUUCUCACUAGGAAAGCAAGAAGAAAUGCAUCUACUAUUCUGUGCAUCUUAGUAAUUAUGUAGAAUGGAUAUGUUUUUAAGCUUUUUUCGGCGGAUAAAAUCCAUUUUUGUGAAAGCAGAUAAAUUGUUAAAAUAUAAUAGAACAUGCGCACCUGCAGGACUGCCGCCCUUUCAUGUAUGCUAAAUUGAUGUGUAUAAAUGGCAUGCUGAAGC